rnacentral:rRNA from 1 species
AACGAACGCUGGCGGCAUGCCUAACACAUGCAAGUCGAACGAGACCUUCGGGUCUAGUGGCGCACGGGUGCGUAACGCGUGGGAACCUGCCCUUAGGUUCGGAAUAACUCCCCGAAAGGGGUGCUAAUACCGGAUAAUGUCUUCGGACCAAAGAUUUAUCGCCUUUGGAUGGGCCCGCGUUGGAUUAGCUAGUUGGUAGGGUAAAAGCCUACCAAGGCGACGAUCCAUAGCUGGUCUGGGAGGAUGAUCAGCCACACUGGGACUGAGACACGGCCCAGACUCCUACGGGAGGCAGCAGUGGGGAAUAUUGGACAAUGGGCGAAAGCCUGAUCCAGCAAUGCCGCGUGAGUGAUGAAGGCCUUAGGGUUGUAAAGCUCUUUUACCCGGGAUGAUAAUGACAGUACCGGGAGAAUAAGCUCCGGCUACUCCGUG